AAUCAACGCUGGCGGCGUGCCUAACACAUGCAAGUCGAACGAGAAAGGGGCUUCGGCCCUGAGUAGAGUGGCGGACGGGUGAGUAACACGUGGGUGAUCUACCCUCCAGUGGGGGAUAACACAUCGAAAGGUGCGCUAAUACCGCAUGGCGUUCCGGUUGUCGCGAUCGGAAUGAAAGCAGCAAUGUGCUGGAGGAGGAGCCCGCGCCGGAUUAGCUAGUUGGUGGGGUAAUGGCCUACCAAGGCAACGAUCCGUAGCCGGCCUGAAAGGGUGACCGGCCACACUGGAACUGAGACACGGUCCAGACUCCUACGGGAGGCAGCAGUGGGGAAUUUUGCGCAAUGGGGGAAACCCUGACGCAGCAACGCCGCGUGGACGAUGAAGGCCUUUGGGUCGUAAAGUCCUGUCAGCAGGGAAAAACACAAUGAUGGUACCUGCAGAGGAAGCUCCGGCUAACUUCGUGCCAGCAGCCGCGGUAA
rnacentral:rRNA from 1 species